UGUCCAGCCCAGCUUGUGUCUCUUUUAACGAGGGAGUCAUCUACAGGCGGCACGAAGGGCUCCCAGCUUUCUCUGGCAGUCCAAGCUCAACUGGAAUCGUGUCUCUGCCGGAUGGUAUUUCGGUAAUUACAGGCUGGACGGGCUGUUGAUGAAGAGGAGACCUGUUGACGGGAGGAAAACCACCGCCUGCUCCAAAACAAGUAACGUCACGGGGACAAACGCAUAACUGCGCACGUUUGUACAUAUUUUAAAUUUGUCAUGCUUACAGACUAAAUGCCCUUGAAUUAACAAUGUUAAUUGAUACUUUUUAUUUAAAACAGUCUGCACUAAAACUAUUAUUAGGGGUCAGUGGGUAAUGUUGAGUAUUUUUCAUUUUUGCUGAGUGAAGUGGUCACAUUGGGUUUUUGGAAGGGAAGAGAGACGUCUUGUCUGAUGUACUUUUGUGUUGUACUGUUGUAUGUUUUCCAAAAUUAGUAAAGGAAAAUGUGAUGCAUAUUGUGAAAAACAUUGAUCCAUUGAUGUAAUGAGGUAAGAAAUAGGACAGUCAAUAGAUGGGUCACACUUUUAUAUUAUUUCUUUAGAUAUCAACUAAGCCAAUUUAAACUGUAUGGUUCAAAAUGCCUGUAGUUUAUGAGUGUAAUAAUUUAUCGAAUAGUGAAUAAAUAAGCCUCAGAUACAAAC
ensembl:lncRNA